UACGAAGGGGCUAGCGUUGCUCGGAAUCACUGGGCGUAAAGCGCACGUAGGCGGAUUGCUAAGUCAGGGGUGAAAUCCUGGAGCUCAACUCCAGAACUGCCUUUGAUACUGGCGACCUUGAGUCCGGGAGAGGUGAGUGGAACUGCGAGUGUAGAGGUGAAAUUCGUAGAUAUUCGCAAGAACACCAGUGGCGAAGGCGGCUCACUGGCCCGGUACUGACGCUGAGG
rnacentral:rRNA from 1 species